rnacentral:lncRNA from 13 species
CACACACACACACACAUCAGUUUCUGGCCAUUUUCAUUGAAAAAGACAGGAAAGGGAAGUGGCUGACACAGCUGCUCUUCCCAUGGGUAGUCACGUUAAUUAGGGCCAAGGAAGGGGAACCAGGGAAGUUUUCUGAUUUUUCCUCAGAAAAAAAAACUUACUGUCAGCAGCUUUCUUUCUAAUCUCAUUCUCUUAGUAAGCCCCUCUUUCUCUUUCUAUCCUCUUUGAGAAGCUGGAUAUUGAUGAAAAAAAAUGCUUGCAAUCCCUGCCCUAAAAUUGAAAUAACUUACCUACAAUGCAAAUAACAGGUAUUGGUUUUCACAAAAGCAAUUUGAAAUUGUAUCUUAGACCAGCUUCUCAAAAUUACAAGUCACCAGGCUAAUGUUCUAAGAAGGAAUGUUGAAAGUGGAGGAGAACGAGAGACGGCAGAGUUAGAUAGAAUACAAGGUGUAGAGCACAUGCUCUCGGAUUCCUAGAAGUGCAGAAAAAGCGUUAGGUAUUUUGAGCUUCUGCUACCAUGGGGUGAUCAAUGUCUACUCUCGGAGGGAAACGUCACUGGAAGCGUCGUCCAUGAGAAACCUUGGAAUCUUUGGAAAUUCUGCCAGCAGGUGCCACCCACUUCUGAAUUGUGCCGACACUCUGCUGGGCUUGUAGUCUGGCUGGAGGCUGAGAUGAAGCUCUGGACCACAUGGUCCACAUCUCUCAGAUGUUGAAGCAAUCCGCCCUAAGUUUCCCCUACAUUUCCAGACCUAGAUGAAGUGCCACAGUACCAGGAAUGGCAUUCAACAGUGACCUGAAUUAUACAAGCUGAAAGCCUGAGGGAACUGACCAACGGUGAGGCCAAUCUGGUAAAAUAGGACAUGAAUAUG